GGGGGCGGAGUCCGCGCACGGCGGGGCCAGUGGUUGGAGAGGCGUAUCACAUGUUUGGAGGCGGGAGAAGCGUCCCCCUUUAUCCAAACUAAGGCUUAGCGGCCUCUGCCCAUUGGUCGGGAACAUAAAAGAGCCCACCCCCCGCCCUGGGCCCUGCCGUUUGCACCAGGCUCUGAAGCUCUUGCCUGCGGAAGGAAUCCGAAGUGCAGAACCUUCUGUUCCCUCUCCGAUGCGAGUACCUUGGGAAGACCACCAAGGGCAGCAGCAGUUGUGGAGUGGACUGAUCUGAACCUAAGAGAUGUUUGUUGUUGAAGGUGGAGCUCGAAAAGUGGCCCAAGCUCUUUGGACAAGCCCAGAAUAUGGCCAGAAGAGGGCACCAGAUCUCAUUAUAGAUGGUUUUGAGCCACUAUGUGGUUACUGGGAAUUGAACUCAGGACCUCUGGAAGAGCAGCCAGUGCUCUUAACCUCUGAGUCAUCUCUCCAGCCCUAUUGGUUUCCUGGUCUCCAAGAGGAAGGACCCAAUGGAUAUCUCCAAUUUAGACUCUCUCUCUCUGCAUAACGUCUAGCUAUGAGUCUCUGUUCCCAUUGCCAUCUGUUGCCAGAAGAAGUCUUCCUGAUGACAACUGGACAAGACACUUAUCUAUGAAUAUAGCAGAAUUAACAGAAGGCAUACCAAUGUUCAUACUCAUGGCUUAUCAUAGUUUUCUAGAGUCCUUCUCCAUUAUUUUAUUUGAAACGUAUGAACAUAAUUCCAUAUUUUAUUUAUUCAUUAAAGUCCCCUUUCUCUAUUAAGGUACAAGAAAGGGCAAAAAAUUCAUUUAAUUUCAGGAAGUCAGCUAAUGUAGAAGGACUUCCAUGAAGGAUAAACUCGAGUUCCAUUUCAGUGGAGAAUGGAAGUCUCCCUCUGCCACAACUCCAGCUCUUUUUCUUAUUUAGAAACAAUGGGUCUUGGCAUCUCAAUGACUGCAGUGUAGCCCAGGGAAUGUAUGUGAACAAGUGAUUGUCUUUUCUUUCUUUUUCUUUACCCUUUGUUUCAGGAGUAAAAACCUUUCAUUUGUAUCUCUCUCCUGAGGUUCUGAGGUCAUCAGAAAGAAAAUGUUCUUCUGUCCUCAAACCCCACAUUUUAUUUGACCUAUCUUAGUAGCUAGUGACUGAUAGUUUGACAAAGUCUCAUGGCUGCUUUGAUUGUUAUGCUACCCACCCCUGUUCAAAUGUUGUUUCAAGAAGGCCUUUCUCAUCAUGCCGAUAUCUAGUUUCAAGUCUCCAAAGGUUUCUGCACCUUUGUAGACACUUGAGCUACAGAGCAUCCUCUGACCUGCUGUCUACCCUGAAUUCAUAUUUAUUUAUUUAUUUUUAGACAAUAUUUUGUUUCAUAGUCCAGGUUUCCCUGGAACUUUGUAUAUGACCCAGGCUGGCCUCAAACCGGAGAUCUCCCUGCCUUGGUUUCCUGAGUGCACAGUUAUGGGAGUGGGCUGAAAUGUCUCACUUGUCUUAUUUCAUAGAUUGGAUUUGAUUUUUAAAUGUUUUUUGAGAUUUUAUUUACUUUUAUAUGUAUGAGUGUUUUCCUAAAUGUCUGUUCUUUGUGCAUGUAGUACCCAACGAGGCCAAAAGAGGCUGUCUGAUCUCCAGGGACUGGAAUUACAGACAGUUGUUAGCUGCUAUGAGGAUGUUAGAAAUUGAGUGUGGACCUAUUGGAAGAGCAGUCAGUGCUUUUAACUCCCGAGUCAUCUCUUUAGUCCCUAGAUUUUGUUUAUUUUUAAUUUUUUGCCAUAUUCAUGAAUAUAUCAGAAUGAUACAUUAUUAUUUUUUCAGUGCAAAACCAUACAUCUCACAUUAUAUACAACAAAUUAUAACACCAUUGUACUCCACUAACAAAAAAGCUAUGCAGUUUGAGUCAUUGUUUCCCUUUAUUUUGCCAGUUAAAACAGGAGUGUGUUUCCUUACUGUUAAACUUACUAAAGCCCUGGCUUGCUUUGGUCCACAGGAUGUAAACUACAGCAACUAUGUUAGAUGUAAGCUUCAGAAUUAUGAUGUUACACUUAUACUGUGUACUUCAGGCUUUAAUCUAAAAUUGCCAUGGCACAACUAGUCUACUGAUCUGAGGAUAUUGUGAAAUGUGGGGCAGAACUGGAUUUCACCUAAAAGCUGGUGUUAACACACUGAGGUAACGUGUGAUCAGCUGAGCCUCUUCAGCUUUGGAUAGAUGUGAGGAAUAUAGGUUAAGGAUUAUUUAUCAAUGAUACUUUGUACUUAUUUAUUAGGUAGAAAUAGUUUGUUGAUACCAUGUGUAAGAAUUUCAGUUUGCAGUCAGAUAGAUUUAUAUAACCUACCAAAAGAUUCAGCAUUAGCUUAUAUAAACAUAAUCAUGUAUAUAAGCAUGAUGUAGAUAAUCACAACUAUCAUAAUGCUAUAGAACUAAAUGAAAUAUUUACAGUAUUAGGCAGGAUUCUGUUUAAUAUUAUUGCUAUACUUAUAGAUGCAUUGCUACUUUGGAGACUAGUAACCUAAUGAUAUAACAGACAUUUAUGAAUUUCAAGAUAAGGAUUCUAUUUUAGAGUCCAUGAUGACUUAAAAAGUAACUCGGGGCCCACACAUCUUGCAUCUUUAGCGUAAUGUCUGUUGAAUGUUAUAGCUGUACUACUUGGGGCAUAUAAGUAAUUGGCUUAGAACUGUUUUUCUUUAAAAAAAAAUAAAAACAUUACUUUACCUCCAUCCCUUGGAAUAUAAAUUACAAUUCAUAUACUGUAGCUGGCAUGUCUGACUUAUUUGUGACCAAGUUUUUGGGUAAAUACAACUGGGAUUUAUUUUGUAAUUUUCCACAUGUCAAUAGAAAGCAGCUUUCUGUUCCCCUCCCUUGCCAUCAGGUCAGAAUAAAUAGACUCUUGAUACAAAGUUGUGGCCAAAGGUUGAAAUUUCCAUGUGAUUGAUGGUCAAAGCACUUACUGGCUGUACCUCCUCUUCUUGUAUAUUACUUCCUAAGCUGGGAUAUAUUUUGUAUAAAAUAUUGAGACAGUCACAGUUCUUUCUGACUCUCAUGUGCCCUUGAGAGUGAAGAAAACCAGUUUAUUAAAUAAAAAAAGCACUGACUUGUGAAUACAUUCUGUAAAGUCUAUGGUUAGUUUUUACUCCUUUAGAUAUAUAGUGU